rnacentral:rRNA from 1 species
GGGACGUGGCAGACGGGUGACCCACACGUGGGAACGUGCCCUAAGGUACGGAACAACUCCGGGAAACUGGAGCUAAUACCGUAUGUGCCCGAGAGGGGAAAGAUUUAUCGCCUUAGGAUCGGCCCGCGUCUGAUUAGCUAGUUGGUAGGGUAAUGGCCUACCAAAGCUACGAUCAGUAGCUGGUCUGAGAGGAUGGCCAGCCACACUGGGACUGAGACACGGCCCACACUCCUACGGGAGGCAGCAGUGGG